UUUUAUGUUUCCUCUGAACAUGACCUUUGGGGAUACAUUUCCACUGCAGUGGAGGAUUUAGCAGCUUGACACCUGUUUAAUAUAAUGGGCUAAAUGAAUGUACACAAGCAAAAUUUAGAGUUUAUGCUCUUGAUAGGAGAAAAGCUGCAUGCAGCCUAUGUCUUCCUACUAAUGGUAGUCAGUAGUGGUACUGCAGAGUGCAGUAAGAAGACAAACUGAGCCAAUUAGAAACAAUAUGAACUGGACCAUGUUAAUGUCAGAUGGCGCAGUACUUUUAUCUUCUCAGACUUGUCCUCUCCUUUUUUAAAGGCAGAUCUUUUCUCCUGCAAUGGCCAGACUGCUUGAAAUGUUUUGUGUAUUAGGCAGUGAAGAGUGUAAUUUUAGGCUGAAGCCACUAUCCUCAGCCUUGUUUAAGUUUCAUAAAGAUUAUUGCAGUAUGAAGAUAAAAUGCCAUGCUCCAAGUUUUGGCAUCUGUCAAAACAGAUGAAGCUGAAAGGAUCUUUUUUCACACUUUUAUUGUAAUAUAUUUGAAGACAUUCACUAGUUGAAAAAUGGUUACUUCUUGUUCUGUGGCAUCUGGCAUUUGUCUUGCGAUUGGCAGUGUGUUACUAGAAAAUAGCAUACAGUUUCUCUCAUCUUGUGAUUGAUGUCCUAUAAAGACAGUCUUGUAUAAGAGUUGGAUUUGAAAUGUUAUGAAUGUGAGUGCCUUUUCUUAGAUCUUUCAAGUGGUACAAUCCAUGCCCUGAAAUAUCCAUUUGUCUCAUCUCAUAACAGUUCUCUAUCUAGGUGAGAUAAGAAACUGCAGUUUGUAAUAAACUCAGAUGAGGGGGUCUCUAUAUAUUGCCACUCUUUAUUUGCUCUGAUGGAUGUAAUAUAGAUUUUUCAUAGCUUAUAUCUAUUUCUUGCUUAUGUGAUAUAGCUGAUUUGCCUCCAAUUUUAAAAGACAAAGAAUGCGUUGUAGAAUAGUCAACACAUUUGUAAACCCAAAGUCCAUGUAUUUAUACAACUGGGAAACUGCAUGACAUAUUAUUCCCUGUAGAGAAUAUAUAGAACAGGGCUGUUCUUUGGGGACUUAAUGGCAAAGUCACAUUCCCUCUCUGCCCCAUCCUCCAUUUCUGGCAAUUUCUUCUGAAACUUAUUUAGAGUCCAAAGCAAAAUGAAUUUUACAUAACCCUUGGGCUAGUGCAGUCUGCACACAAAAAAAUGACCAGAGAGGUUUAAUUCAGGAUAUGAAUACUAAUGUCCUGAUGUUAAUCAGUAAAUCCUGAUGACUCAUCCUAGGGAGAAAAGCAGUAAGAGACUGGUACUUGAAUGUAUUUUAUUAGACUGGUUACCACUGAAAUCUUUCCACUCAUUCAUGGAAACACCAUAUGGAAAAAUCAAGCCUGUGUUCAUCACUGUCUGACCUUGUUCCAUGUUUCAUCACUAGCGAUUAUGUCUGUUGGACAGUGACUGUUCAGCCUCCAGAUAUUACCCAUUCAUCUAUCAUCUGUUUUCUUUUCCACCACAUACAUGUUCUCUCUUUGUUCUGCCUAAUUCCAUGGUUCUAUUUUUCAGCUUGCCCACGCACACAACAAAUUGAUGCUUUUAUUAGCGAUUUUUGUUAAUUUGGCACCAUGUUGAAUCUAUUAGUGUAAUUUCUUAUGUUGCUGUGGAACGUCUACUAGAAUGUGACUGUCUCCUUAGUUGAUUAUAAAGAUGAAAACUUCCUGCUCCAUCUUCUUGGUAGCAGGGGUAUAGAAAGGUCCCAGAAGAUCUGGGUGCAUGAAUAUGUUAGGGUCCUCCUUCCCAAUUCCAAAAUCCACCUCCUCCAGCCCAGCCACAGCCCCAAUUCAGCCCCACCCAGCCCCAGUUCAGCCUCUGCUUAGCUUCCCUCACAGCCCUCCUUCAGAUUGCCAGCUCCUCCCAUAACCCUGCAGUUCUGAGCCCCACAAGUUCUCUCUCAACCCAUCUCCAGCCUUCAUCAGUCCAGCCCCCAACUCCCCCAGCCCUGAUCCAAUCAUUCCUUUUACCUUCUGCUUCCCUGAGCCACCUCUCACUCUCAGGCCCCCAAAGUCUUCCCCCAGGUCCCCCCUUUGUUUGCUCCAGCUCCACUCCAGCCCCCUACUCCACCCGUGCCCCCAGCUCUGAUCCAGAAACCCCCAAGCGCCACUUCAACUCCCUUCCCCCAUCCUCCACAGCUCCAGUCCAACCUCCCAGCUCAGCCAGUUCUGCCUCAAAAUGGCCAAUGCUUUUACCUGGGGCUCCAUGUCUAGAAGUGGGGGGCACAUCUCCCAUAUCCACCCCUUCUCUCCCUCACAUCCCUCAUCGCUGUGAGACCCUCCCCACACACCUUCUCUGUGCAUGUUUGCCGACUGGUCAUGCUUGAAGUUGCCCUAGCUGGAGGGGCCCCCAUCCCAGCUGUCCUCCUGUCCCUGACCCACUCUCCUCCGGCAUCCCCUUUCCACUGUGGAGUGGCACAGCUGAACUUCUGCCAGUGGCAUGAAUAGGGAUACAUGUAUACAGCUAGAUCUGAGUGCUCCCCCCGGACCCUUGUGGGCCCUGGUGCAACUGAACCAUUUGUACCGAUGUAACUAUGUCACAUCUUGGUAAGCUAUCAUCCAUCCUAUUGAACUGAGCAGCUGUUGAUUAGAUGAUGGAGCUUAGCUGUGGCUUUAUUCAGUUAGCGCAAGCCCUUCAAGCCAAGAGCUGGACUCCUCUCCUACCUUUCUGCUCAUUAACACAAAACCUGAUCAAUUGUCCUUAGCAGAUGAACUCAUUGAGAGUUUCUGUCUUUUCCUGUGUUUAGAAUAUAGUGCUUUGCUUUCCAGGGGGUGGGCUUUCUUAGAGCUUCAUUGCACAGGAAUGCCUAUGUCAUCAUUAAAUCCAAUCCCGCCUUACUGGAGAGAGACCCCUGACCAACCUCCCAGCCAACCCCAGUGAGGCCAAGUUGUAAUUGUCCUUGGUGCUGCUACUGACUGGAGCUGUACAAUUUGCAGGCUCUAGUUCUCACACCACGUGCAUUUUUUCUGUCCAGUGAGAAUGGCUUUGGUUUUUUAACCUUUGAAAGUGAAUAUCUUCCUGGUUAUAAUUAACAUAAGGGAUAAAAUAAAUCAAACCUAAUCUUUUUAGCUAAUGUCUUGAAUCAAAUUUACCGAAGGGACCUCUCAGUAAAUGGCACAGCGCAAUUUCUUUUAAAUCUACAGAGCUACAGUUGAAAGGUAGAGUAGAUGCAUUAAAACCCCAUCUACACUUCACCCUGCAACCAGAUACAUUGUUAGAUUUCUACCAAAAUCCAGUUGGUUUUCUAUCUAGUCUUGCCUUGAAUAAUGCCAGGCUGGGAGAUUCCUUGGCAGGUAGUUUUUUCAGGAUAUUAGCCAAGGCAGUAAAUACAGUGCUGCUCUCUAGUCUUUUAAAAGAAUAGUAAUAAUAGUGUUGUUUAGUUAUCAUAAACACACAUCAGAGUGUAUGACACAUUAAAUUCCAUACCUGAGCCGAAUAUCCUAAUUUAAUACAUAAAGUAAGUGAAAGUCUUGGAAACGUCAUGAAAUCCAGAAAUUAAUGGAAGCAUCUUAGUGUCAAAGUUGUUUUCAAGUUGGCUAAGGAUGUUGUCUCAUCAUAUGACUCUGCCAGACAGUGCUGCUGUUUCUAACAACCCCCAGUUUGGUGGGCUUGGAGUGCUGCUGUUGCUCUGACAAGUUGUGCUGUUUGGAAGCUGUAAAGUUCUCCUUGACUACAAACACCUGCACCGAGAGCCAGGUGUUCUUCUUUGAGCAGAUGCAGCUAUGUUUCCCAGUUAGGUGUGUAAGCGCACCGGAGCUGGAGAAUUUUGCCUAGAAGUACCCACAGAGCUACAGAGAUGCUCCAGGCCAUACCCCCUCCCCUGGCUGGAUGAGGCAGUGCCAUCCGGCCCCCCUCCCUUCCUCCACACUGAAUGCCCGCGAGAUGAGACUCUGGUGCAGAGGGGAUGAAGGGUGGGUAAUGGAAUGCACAUUUGCAUCACAACUCAAAGAACCACAGUUACAAUAAGUAACCAUUUCUCCUGAGUAUUGUGGUGAAAGUUCUGGAGCCCUCUUCUCCCUGGCCUUUAAAGGUUGCUUGGCAAUGGCAGUGCUUUCUCUGCUGGCCCCUAACGAGUUUGGUACUGCUGAUAUACAGGCUGUCUGCACCUAUAAAGCAAAAUCUCAUCUAUAACUCUGUGUGCAACUACCUUUGAUUUCGCUGUGCGCAUCUGAGGGCAGAGUUGAGCCGAGGGAGGUGAUUAUCGUUACUUUGAAAAAAAAAAUUGGAAAUGGUAAUGAUGCAAUUCUGUCUUUCAUUUACAUUUCUAACACUGAGAACCACUUGAUAGGAAGUGAAACCAAAAAGAGGUGUUCUGCUCUGUCUGAUGGAGACACCACCAAAUAGUUAUUGCUUAUGGAGCAUGACACAUCCAGGACACUUCAUCAAACACAUGAGGCCAAGGUACAUGCCCCCCCCCCCGAUUUUACAGACUAAUCGCUGAAGUAAUUCUAUUGCAAAUACUGUAAUAGAAAUAGAAUUCAGUCAAAUGUUUGGCUUCACUGAGUUAAUCUUCAAUCGGUCCAGAUGCUGCAGCAAUGGGCCUCUCAUAAUGAAUGAAAAUAUUUGUGUCAUCUUAAGGUCAUCAGCAGAGAUUAAAAUAAUUGACAUAUCAGUGUAGUGUGGAGUGGAGACAACUCAGAACAUGUCUCUGAACACGAUUGCAGGCUGUGGCUUUACAGGUGGGUCUGAGGGCAACAAUACCCAGAAAGAUCAUUGCAGGAUAUGGAAGGAGAGGGGAAUUUCUUAGUGCUGCAGCCUUUGUGCCUCUGUUAACUGUUCAUAGCUUCUCCCCACCAGAUCAGUAGUUCCAGUCUCUGGCUGACAGGAGGAAUUGUGUCUGUACGAAGCAGUUCAAAGCAGCAGGGGUUAAAUUCAAAAGGGCAUAACCUGGCACUGAAGUUGUGCUGAGCCUACUUCUUUAUGGUUCAGGAUGCCAGGCAGAGAACAGAAGAGGGCCAGAACCCUCUCUGCCUUUGCAGUUGUCAUAUUGGCACUGCCAAUGACACAUACUAAAAGGUUUGCAUUUAUUAACCCAAGUGUAAACCACAAGGACCUGAAUCAACUCAGAAUGAUCACUUACCAAUUCAAAACGAAAGUGCUAUUUGCUCUCCUCACUUGGUCCUGAAACAGUAAAUGUCAUUAUUGUUUGUACCACUGUGUUUGUAAAAUGUUGCACUUUAUUGCUGUGGAUAUUUUGAUCUAUUUAAGAUAUUGAUUCUGUUAUUGCAUAGAGAGUUGUGCUAUAUUUUAUCCUUGAUAUGAAUGAAUCAUUGAAUGUUUAGUGCUUUAAUUUUUCUGAAGUAGGAAAACAGGCUUUGUGUAAUAUACAUAGAUUAUGAAUCAUUGAUAAGAUACAUUUCUGGGUAAUGAUCUAUAUAUUAAAUAUUUAGGAGCAAUCUUUUAGAAUGCCUGGUACAAGGUAGCCAGCUAUAAAAGCAGCACGCAUGUCGUCAUGCGCAUAUUUCAGUGUGGAUGGGGGGAGAGGGAGGGUGGGAAAUGAGGCCAUAUCAGAGAGAGAGAGACGUGACAUAGGUUUAAGCAGUUAUUUAUUCAAUCUCCUAAUGUAGCGAUUAAAGAUCACUAAAGCCCUUUAAACCACUAAACAAAAUAGACCCACAAGAGGAGUCAAUAGCAGAAAAAGUGGAUUUCAGAUUCUCAACUCCAAAGUUACUUCUGUUUAGUUUCUUCUCUUCAAGGUCAAAUACCACAGUGGGAAGAAAAGAGGUGAGUAACAUAUAAUCCCAGGCCAUGCCAUCUCCAUUCAGCUGUGUUUCGCUUUCACCUCACAAGGGAGUGACAAUUCUUCUGGUGCAUGUACUGUGCUAGAGAACUACAAACCCCAGCAUGCUUUGCUAGUAAGCAACAAUUCCUGUCUGUCCAAGGGAUAAAAUUAGCUAUAUAAGAAACACCUGGGUACUCCCUUUCCGCUGCAUCUCUUGCUGUGUCUGGAUUUGCUUCCGAGCCAAACAGAGGCCACAAGCCUUCCACCAGGAUGCGUGCCUCUGAGUAGUUGAGCUCUUCCAAUUACCCUGCCCAGAGCAAUGACAUAGGAGCUUGCAAGUCAGCUCUGGCUAGCCAAGUCAUGUUGCAGUCUGUACCCUGCAGUUACCGGCCGUCGCAUGGCUUGAGAACCAAGAGAAUGGCUGCAGCUGACAGAGCUCCAAAGCCAGCGUGAAGCAGGUUGCCUAGGUCUCACUGAAUGAUUCUAGCUCCUAAUGAUGAGGGGGAAAUAUGGAUUCCGGGCUGGGAAAUAUGUCACUGUCCUAAAUCAGACAACAACAUGGGACCUCAGUUAUUCAGGCUUCAUUCCUUCAAGAUAUAGCACAAAAAUCAAAUGGCUGAAGUUAUUCUAUUACAGCUCAUACCAACAAUGGGAAAAUCCUAUAAUGUAAAGGGCCAGCAUCAAUAUGUGCUCUGUGAGGAUGAAUCGCCCAGCAGCAGAUGAGAGAAGAACACAGAAAUUAUUAAAGGGGUCCACAUCCUUCUGUUUUGUUUUUUUUUUGUGGGGUGAGGGGUUGUUUUUAAAAAGCCAACUAACUUGAUCUGGAGCGUCUCUCGGAUCGAUGACAGCGAGGGCAUGUAGCAACAAACUGCAAAACGCUUUUCCCCCAAGUGAA